GGUGGUCGAUGUUUUUGGGUCUAAAGGCUUCGUAACCGGGUUGGUCAAUUUUCCGGGAAAUUCCACGGAUUUAACGUUAGGCUUUCGGGGGAUACUACCUGGCUUGGGGCCGGGAGAGGUAAGAGGUACUCCGGGGGUAGGAGUGAAAUCUUGUAAUCCCCGGGGGACCACCAGUGGCGAAGGCGUUUUACCAGAACGGGUCCGACGGUGAGGGAUGAAAGCUGGGGGAGCGAACCGGAUUAGAUACCCGGGUAGUCCCAGCUGUAAACGAUGCUGGCUAGGUUCAGGGACGCUGCGACCCUUUCUAGUGCC
rnacentral:rRNA from 1 species